AUUGAACGCUGGCGGCAGGCUUAACACAUGCAAGUCGAGCGGAGAGAGGUAGCUUGCUACUGAUCUUAGCGGCGGACGGGUGAGUAAUGCUUAGGAAUCUGCCUAUUAGUGGGGAACAACAUUUCGAAAGGAAUGCUAAUACCGCAUACGUCCUACGGGAGAAAGCAGGGGAUCUUCGGACCUUGCGCUAAUAGAUGAGCCUAAGUCGGAUUAGCUAGUUGGGGGGGUAAAGGCCUACCAAGGCGACGAUCUGUAGCGGGUCUGAGAGGAUGAUCCGCCACACUGGGACUGAGACACGGCCCAGACUCCUACGGGAGGCAGCAGUGGGGAGUAUUGGACAAUGGGCGCAAGCCUGAUCCAGCCAUGCCGCGUGUGUGAAGAAGGCCUUAUGGUUGUAAAGCACUUUAAGCGAGGAGGAGGCUACUUUAGUUAAUACCUAGAGAUAGUGGACGUUACUCGCAGAAUAAGCACCGGCUAACUCUGUGCCAGCCGCCGCGGUAAAAC
rnacentral:rRNA from 1 species